rnacentral:rRNA from 1 species
AGCAGUGGGGAAUUUUGGACAAUGGGCGCAAGCCUGAUCCAGCAAUGCCGCGUGAGUGAAGAAGGCCUUCGGGUUGUAAAGCUCUUUUGUCAGGGAAGAAACGGUGAGGGCUAAUAUCUCUUGCUAAUGACGGUACCUGAAGAAUAAGCACCGGCUAACUACGUGCCAGCAGCCGCGGUAAUACGUAGGGUGCAAGCGUUAAUCGGAAUUACUGGGCGUAAGCGUGCGCAGGCGGUUUUGUAAGUUUGUCGUGAAAGCCCCGGGCUCAACCUGGGAAUUGCGAUGAAGACUGCAAGGCUUGAAUCUGGCAGAGGGGGGUAGAAUUCCACGUGUAGCAGUGAAAUGCGUAGAGAUGUGGAGGAACACCGAUGGCGAAGCAGCCCCCUGGGUCAAGAUUGACGCUCAUG